GACGAACGCUGGCGGCGUGCUUAACACAUGCAAGUCGAACGGUAAGGCCCUUCGGGGUACACGAGUGGCGAACGGGUGAGUAACACGUGGGUGAUCUGCCCUGCACUUCGGGAUAAGCCUGGGAAACUGGGUCUAAUACCGGAUAGGACUCCUGGCUUCAUGGUUGGGGGUGGAAAGCUUUUGCGGUGUGGGAUGGGCCCGCGGCCUAUCAGCUUGUUGGUGGGGUAAUGGCCUACCAAGGCGACGACGGGUAGCCGGCCUGAGAGGGUGACCGGUCACACUGGGACUGAGAUACGGCCCAGACUCCUACGGGAGGCAGCAGUGGGGAAUAUUGCACAAUGGGCGCAAGCCUGAUGCAGCGACGCCGCGUGAGGGAUGACGGCCUUCGGGUCGUAAACCUCUUUCAGCUACGACGAAGCGCAAGUGACGGUAGUAGCAGAAGAAGGACCGGCCAACUACGUGCCAGCCGCCGCGGUAA
rnacentral:rRNA from 1 species